AUACGGGAGGCAGCAGUGGGGAAUAUUGCACAAUGGGCGAAAGCCUGAUGCAGCAACGCCGCGUGGGUGAUGAAGGUUUUCGGAUCGUAAAGCCCUGUCUUUUGGGACGAUAAUGACGGUACCAAAGGAGGAAGCCACGGCUAACUACGUGCCAGCAGCCGCGGUAAUACGUAGGUGGCAAGCGUUGUCCGGAUUUACUGGGCGUAAAGGGAGCGUAGGCGGACCUUUAAGUGAGAUGUGAAAUACCCGAGCUCAACUUGGGUGCUGCAUUUCAAACUGGAGGUCUAGAGUGUCGGAGAGGUAAGUGGAAUUCCUAGUGUAGCGGUGAAAUGCGUAGAGAUUAGGAAGAACCCCGGUGGCGAAGGCGACUUACUGGACGAUAACUGACGCUGAGGCUCGAAAGCGUGGGGAGCAAACAGGAUUAGAUACCCCGGUAGA
rnacentral:rRNA from 1 species